CACUUAAAGUGCUCUCAGUGCACAGCACUUUUUAGUGCAAUUGUGACUUCAAGAAAAAGGCGUCUAAAAUAUUUCAAACCUUCGAUUUAAGUUACAUUUUCAUUAAAAUGUCAUUUCAAUCAGACUGCAGUAAUUUCGGAUCAAAAUGAUAGCCGAUAGAAAAGGAGGAUACUUUUCAAUUCAACGUACGAAGGAACAGCCGAAACAUUGGCCAAUGUAUUCACUGCAGUGUGAAUGGGAAAGGAUUUUACCUCACCUUGAAGUUCCAAUCUCAAGUUGCCGAUCACCACAUCAUCUCAAAUAAUAUUUCGUAGUGAACGAGUUUUUCUUUUUUUUUCUCGUCACUUUCAAGUUAAAUCAUAUCCAUCGCAGUAAUUUUUUGUAAGAAAUCUGCAAAGCAUAAUUUUUGCACCAGUUUUCAAAUGUCAAGUUAUUGCUCAAGUUUUUUCGUUUAGAUUUUUUUUUGAAAUUUUCUGGCUGAUUUCUGGGAUUUUGGGAAGACACCACUUAUUUCAUACUCACAUCAAUUAUUCAAUUAAAACAGCAGUGUCUAUUUUCAAAAAUGGAAAUAAUUUAGAUGUUGAAAGAAAAAGUAAAAAAAAUCAGUUGUUUUGUUAAAUGUAUUUUCUAAGUGUUUAUUCAUAGUGUUUUUAAAAGCAAAGAAUUGUAAUGAUAGAUAAAUAUAAACUUAGAUUUAAGAAUGAAUUUGAUGUGAAACAAUAAAAUGAAUUAAAUCAAGGAUUCAGGCAAUUGCCUUGAAUAGCUGCAAUGUGCAGUGGCGUCUUUCCACCAUUGUCUUUAGCAUUGACGUCGGCGCCAUUAUUAAUAAGUACUUGAAUGGUAUAUCGAUGUUAUGAAUUGGAAAUCAAUCAAAGUGAAGCGAUUGAAUGUGGAUUUAAAUAAGAGUUCAAUUGUGAAGCGGUGUAAAAUAGUUUGCUCCCUAGUUCUACACCCCUUCAUGAUGCAGCUUGGAAUGGUAAUUGAACUCUUACUUCAAUUCAGGACAUUCGAAUGCCACUCAACUGCUCAUCAAUAAUAAAGCCAACAUCGAAGCUAAGGACAAUAAUGGAAAUACGCCACUGCACAUUGCAACUAUUCAAGGCAAUUGACUAAGUUCUUGAUUCAAAUCGCAAA